rnacentral:rRNA from 1 species
CAACAGCUCAAAUUUGAAAUCUGGCUCUUUCAGAGUCCGAGUUGUAAUUUGCAGAGGGCGCUUUGGUGUUGGCAGCGGUCCAAGUUCCUUGGAACAGGACGUCACAGAGGGUGAGAAUCCCGUACGUGGUCGCUAGCCUUCGCCGUGUAAAGCCCCUUCGACGAGUCGAGUUGUUUGGGAAUGCAGCUCUAAAUGGGAGGUAAAUUUCUUCUAAAGCUAAAUACUGGCCAGAGACCGAUAGCGCACAAGUAGAGUGAUCGAAAGAUGAAAAGCACUUUGGAAAGAGAGUCAAAUAGCACGUGAAAUUGUUGAAAGGGAAGCGCUUGCAGCCAGACUUGCCUGUAGUUGCUUAUCCGGACUUUUGUCCGGUGCACUCUUCUGCGGGCAGGCCAGCAUCAGUUUGGGCGGUUGGAUAAAGGUCUCUGUCAUGUACCUCUCUUCGGGGAGAACUUAUAGGGGAGACGACAUGCAACCAGCCUGGACUGAGGUCCGCGCAUCUGCUAGGAUGCUGGCGUAAUGGCUGUAAGCGGCCCGUCUUGAAACACGGACCAAGGAGUCUAACAUCUAUGCGAGUGUUUGGGUGUCAAGCCCAGACGCGUAAUGAAAGUGAACGGAGGUGGGAACCCUUUGGGUGCACCAUCGACCGAUCCUGAUGUCUUCGGAUGGAUUUGAGUAAGAGCAUGGCUGUUGGGACCCGAAAGAUGGUGAACUAUGCUUGAAUAGGGUGAAGCCAGAGGAAACUCU